CGUACGGCUCAGUAACACGUAGUCAACCUACCGUAAAGAGGUGAAUACCCCCGGGAAACUGGGGCUAAUACACCAUAAGUUAGGACAUCUGGAAGGAGUCUUAACCGAAAGGUGCGUAAAUUGCAGCGCUACUGCUUUACGAUGGGACUGCGGCGGAUCAGGCAGAUGGCGGGGUAACGGCCCACCAUACCGAUAACCCGUAGGGGAUAUGGGAGUAUGAGCCCCGAGAAGGACACUGAGACAAGGGUCCUAGCGCUAUGGCGUGCAGCAGGCGCGCAAACUCCGCAAUGCGCGGAAGCGUGACGGGGGGAAUCUGAGUGGCUCACUACGGUGAGCCUUUUGCCAAGUAUAGCAAGCUUGGCGAAUAAGUGCUGGGCAAGACCGGUGGCAGCCGCCACGGUAAUACCGGCAGCACGAGUAGUGUCCACGAUUACUGGGCUUAAAGCGCCCGUAGCCGGCCGGUACCGUCUCAUGUGAAAUAUUGGCGCUCAACGUCAAUGCGUGCAUGAGAUACCUAUCGGCUAGGGAACAGGUGAGGUCAGGGGUACUCAUUGGGGAGGGGUAAAAUCCUGUAAUCCUUUGAGGACCAACGGUGGCGAAGGCGCCUGACUAGAAUGUAUCCGACGGUGAGGGGCGAAGGCUAGGAGAACGAAUCGGAUUAGAUACCCGAGUAGCCCUAGCAGUAAAUUAUGCAAACUCUGGUGUUGCACACGUCUUGAACAUGUGCAGUAUCGUAUGGAAGUCGAGCCCAACAGGAUAAUUGUUGACGAGACAGGUCCCUUCACCACGGUGAAGUUCUACAAUUCUGCAGUGAGAAAGCUGUUCGAAAAGAGCCUUCAGAGGAAGGCGAUGAUCUUCAAAUACAGGAACGGCUAUUCCGCAAGCUACAUAGCAGCGCUCUACGACUGCAAUGGAGGAAAGGACUCCCAUGGCAUGUACGUAAGUGGCAUCAAGACCGAUACCAUCGUCAUGCUGGAGAGGCUUGGAUUCCAUACGGCGCAGAGAGGCUCAAGGACCUACAUAAGGAACGGCGAUGACCUUGUCAUGUUCAUAAAAGACAGGAGCCUUUCCCCUAUUAGUAGCAUCAUUUCUUAGCCCGGAAACGAGCGAGACCUUCGCAGACAGUUGCCACCUGUUCAGAGAUGAACGGAGCACUCUGUUUGGAUCGCCUCUGUUUAAAGAGGAUGAAAGAGAAGACGACGAUACGUCAGUACGAUCCGAAUCUCCUGGGCUACACGCGGCAUACAAAGGUUGGUACAAUGGGACGCAAUGCCGAAAGGCAAAGCAAAUCCCCUAAAGCCAAUCCCAGUCCGGAUUGAGGGUUGGAACUCACCCUCAUGAAGUUGGAAUCCCUAGUAAUCGCUUGUCACUAUCGAGCGGUGAAUCUGUCCCCGCUCCUUGCACACACCGCCCGCCAAGUCACCCAAGUAGGGUUUUAAUGAGACGAUACCUAAGGUGCCGUCGAGUUAAGGCUUUGUGAGGAGGGCUAAGGCGUAACAAGGUAUCCGUAGGGGAACCUGCGGAUAGAUCACCUCAAAAGGGC
rnacentral:rRNA from 1 species